rnacentral:rRNA from 1 species
UGGGGAAUAUUGCACAAUGGGCGCAAGCCUGAUGCAGCAACGCCGCGUGAUCGAUGAAGGUCUUCGUAUCGUAAAGUUCUGUUGCAGGGGAAGAUAAUGACGGUACCCUGUGAGGAAGCCCCGGCUAACUACGUGCCAGCAGCCGCGGUAAUACGUAGGGGGCUAGCGUUAUCCGGAUUUACUGGGCGUAAAGGGUGCGUAGGUGGUCCUUCAAGUCGGUGGUUAAAGGCUACGGCUCAACCGUAGUAAGCCGCCGAAACUGGAGGACUUGGGUGCAGGAGAGGAAAGUGGAAUUCCCAGUGUAGCGGUGAAAUGCGUAGAUAUUGGGAGGAACACCAGUAGCGAAGGCGGCUUUCUGGACUGCAACUGACACUGAGGCAGGAAAGCGUGGGUAGCAAACAGG